UACGUAGGGUGCGAGCGUUAAUCGGAAUUACUGGGCGUAAAGUGUGCGCAGGCGGCCGAGCAAGUCGAGUGUGAAAGCCCCGAGCUUAACUUGGGAACUGCGCUCGAAACUACUUGGCUAGAGUGUGGCAGAGGGAGGUGGAAUUCCACGUGUAGCGGUGAAAUGCGUAGAGGAUGUGGAGGAACACCGAUGGCGAAGGCAGCCUCCUGGGCCAACACAUGACGCUCAGUGACACGAAAGCGUGGGGAGCAAACAGGA
rnacentral:rRNA from 1 species